GGAGGGUUAGCACAGCUGGUUAGUGCGCUCGCCUCACACGCGAGAGGUCGGCGGUUCGAGUCCGCCACUCUCCA
rnacentral:tRNA from 1 species